UUCUUUAAUUGGUUAAUGUAGUUCGUGUCAUAUGAUAUAGUAGAAAACAAGGCAAAUGGAAUAUCUGCUAAUGCAUUUUUGUUUCUCUAAAUCAUAGUAUCAUCUGCAUUCCUUGAUUUCAAGCUCACUAAUUUCAUGAACUGAUACAGCGGGUCGAUUCAGACCCGGAAUGCAGCAUCUUGUGGAAUUAAGCGUCACAUGGGGCUACUCAAGGAAGUUUCAGGUCUUUGGAUUUGGUAUUUGAUUUGAGAUUUCAGAUGAGAAAGUUGGAUUCUUCACAUGUGACUUUGUCUUCAUCGUUAAAAUUGUCAUACCAUUUGCCUACUUAUACAGAUUGUUUAUGUGCGCUAUGAGUACUGCCCAAAGUUAGCAUCUUAAAUUUAAUUGUGAUGAGAGAGAGAGAGAGAGAGAGAGAGAGAGAGAUAUGGGUGAUGGAGUCAAGGUCUGUGUUCCAUUUGUUUGUUUGUCGUCUUUACCCACUUUUCUUUUACAAGACGGAUUUGGUCAACCUGUUAAUUUCUACGUCAUGACUUUGGAGUGGGGCUCAGUUGACUCGUUCAUGCAUGACAUAAACGCAUGCAGUAAAUGUGCAUCGACCAGUAGGGAACGCUCUGAGUUGUGUGUAUUCUAACAUCUACAGUAAAUAUGGCAUCGAUCGAUUGUUAUGUAGGAUUAA